rnacentral:rRNA from 1 species
UACGGGGGGUGCGAGCGUUGUCCGGAAUCACUGGGCGUACAGCGCGCGCAGGCGGUUGCCGACGUGCCGUGUGACAAGCGGGGGCUCAACCCCCGAGGGCCACGGUAAACGGGGCGACUGGAGGGAGGGAGAGGGAUGUGGAAUGCCCGGUGGAGCGGUGAAAUGCGUAGAGAUCGGGCGGAACACCAGCGGCGAAGGCGGCAUCCCGGCCCUUACCUGACGCUGAGGCGCGAGAGCGUGGGGAGCAAACCGG